AGCAGCCGCGGUAAUUCCAGCUCCAAUAGCGUAUAUUAAAGUUGUUGCAGUUAAAAAGCUCGUAAUUGAAUUUCGGGAUCAAUAUUUCGGUCAUGCCGUUGGUAUGCACUGUUAUCAUUGAUUUCUCACCUUCUAAAGAACCGUAAUGCCAUUAAUUUGGUGUUACGGGGAAUUAGGACUGUUACCUUGAAAAAUUAGAGUGUUUAAAGCAGGCUCACGCUUGAAUACAUUAGCAUGGAAUAAUGAAAUAGGACAUCCGAUUCUAUUUGUUGGUUUCUAGGAUCGAUGUAAUGAUUAAUAGGGAUAGUUGGGGCUAGUUAGUAUUC
rnacentral:rRNA from 1 species